AAUCAAACUCAUGAUUGGUCUCAAAAAUAGCUAUUGAGGACCUUCAUUGAGGGCUUGAAGCCGGAGAUCCGAGGAGAAGUUAAAGCGCGACAACCGUAUACGCUGAUGGCAGCCAUCUCUUUCGCACGACAUCAAGAGGAGCAAUUGAACCAUGAAGCUCGGAGGACUAGGGUCGCUCCUCAACUAGUAAUAUUGAAGCCCUCAGGCCCC
rnacentral:lncRNA from 1 species